rnacentral:rRNA from 1 species
UACAGAGGGAGCAAGCGUUGUUCGGAAUUACUGGGCGUAAAGGGCGCGUAGGCGGUUCGAUAAGUCCCGUGUGAAAUCCCUCGGCUCAACUGAGGAAUGGCACGGGAAACUGACGGGCUUGAGUUCGGGAGAGGGAAGCGGAAUUCCGGGUGUAGCGGUGAAAUGCGUAGAUAUCGGGAGGAACACCUGUGGCGAAAGCGGCGCACUGGACCACAUCUGACGCUGAGGCGCGAAAGCUAGGGGAGCAAACAGG